rnacentral:rRNA from 1 species
GAUUAACGCUAGCUGCAGGCAUAAUACAUGCAAGUUGAACGAGAUAAGUUUUAUCAAUAGAACUUUGAAAGUGGCGCACGGGUGCGUAACACGUAUGCAACCUACCUUUUACUGGGGAAUAGCCUCUCGAAAGAGAGAUUAAUACCCCAUAAUAUAUUGAUAAGGCAUCUUAUUAAUAUUAAAGUUACGGCGGUAAAAGUUGGGCAUGCGGCUGACUAGGUAGUUGGUGAGGUAAUGGCUCCCCAAGCCGACGAUCAGUAGCGGGUCUAAGAGACGGUCCCCCCACACUGGUACUGAGACACGGACAAGGCUCCUACGGGAGGCAGAAGUAGGGAAUAUUGGACAAUGGGGGCAAGCCUGAUCCAGCCAUGACGCGUGCAGGAUGAAGGCCCUAUGGGUCGUAAACUGCUUUUGUACGGGAAGAACCCUCACUACGUGUAGUGAGUUGACGGUACCGUGAGAAUAAGGAUCGGCUAACUUCGUGCCAGCAGCCGCCGUAA